GGAAGCUGAAAAUCCGUCCUCUGAGCCGAAUGUGGGAAAUCAGAAAUGACUACGCAGAGAUGCCACAGGCAGUGGUAUAUAGUGUUUGCGUCGUGCCAAGGUCCCAGGCUGACAGUGAGAAGCAAAAAUUCAAGAAGAUAUUUGCAUGCCCACAUCCACAGAAGUGUAAGCUCUCCAAAAAGCCAGAAGGAGCAAAGAGCCCAUGAUGGAGCAGGGCGCCCGAGGGUCCAUUGGUGAAUGAGUGGAGAACCAGAGGGCCAAGCACACACAGGGCAGACUCUCACUCAGCCAGAACGCGGAGUGGGCUUCUGAGACAUCCUGCAACAGGCUGAACCAUGGAAGCAGAGUGCUCCGGGAGAGCAGCUGGACACAAAGGAUGGAAGUUGCAUAACUCCACUUAGGCGGGUUCUUAGAGCGGACAGAGUCGUGAGGACAGAAUCGAGGCUACUAGGCAAGCAAUUCAUGGAUACAAGGUUGCGUUUGGGUUGAUGGACAGGUUCCAAAGACACAUCGUGGCUACGGUUCGUAGCACUGUGAACUGUUAAAACUUAAUAGAGUAAAUCUCCUGGUAUGUAUGUUUUACCAUGAUGAGAAAAAAAAAACAGUAAUAAAAUAGCCAAGCAAAAGAACUAUGUAUAGGCAGGGAAGAGCACUCCCACCAUCCACAGCAUCUUCAGAGGGAAUCAGUGUAACAAGAUCUGGAAAGAACCCACAGGAAGAAAUCACAAAAUUUCACUAAGGCUCCCAAAGAGUUCUAUUAGUGGAGAGAGAGGGGGAGACACUAUGUUCCUGGUGGAAAAACUCAAAUUUGGUAAGGAUGUCAUUUCUCCACAAAUGCGUCUCUAAAUAUAAGGCAACCCCAGUCAAAACCCAGAUAUCGUUUUGGCACUAAACCAAACGACUCUACAGCCUAGCAUAAAUACUAAGCACAGAAUAAGCAAGAGCAGCUCUAUAAAGAAAAUGGGCAAAGGAAAGGGAAGAGGGGAGAAGAAGGAGAAGCAGGGAAGGAGUUAGAGGAGAGGUUCUUACUGGCAUUAAAAAAAAUAACCAUUUAUUCUUGGGGUACCAACCUCAUAAUAAAAAGUAAAAUGAAAUAUAGAAUCCAGAAACAAAUUUUAAAAAUUGCUUUUAAUAAAAAGCUGUAUCUCAAGAGAUUAGCCAAAAAAUGGAACACUUUUUAAAAUGGUGCUGAGGGACCUACAUUUGUGUCAAAAUUGUGCAGAACAAAGUUCUACUAAAAGCAUAUGAGUGACACCUAGGGCGGGAUAAUGCCAGUGUCCCAAUGGUGUGAUUACACUGUCAUUUUGCAAAAAAAAAAAAAAUUAUCAUUGGAGAAAACUGAGUAAAAGGGAAAUAAUGCCUUCCCAUGUUACUUCAUACAAAUACAUGUCCAUCUGCAAUUAUCUCAAAUAAAACCUUUAAUUAAAAUGAUAUAAACUAUUUUAAAACAUUAGACUGCUGAAAUUUUAAAUUAACAUCUUUAUUAUUUUUAAAAUUUUUUAAAAAUUCUAUUUUAUGUAAGUGAAUGUCUUGCCUGUACAUAUGUAUACCACAUGAGCGCUGUGCCUACAGAGACCAAAAGAGCGCAUCAGAUCCACUGGAACUGGAGUAUCAGAUUGCUAUGAGUAGACAUGGGGUUCUGGAACUUGAACAAGAGCAUCUUAACCGUUGAGUCAUCUCUUCGGUCCAAUAUUAUAUUUUUAAAAUACUAGAACCCUAAGUAUAUUCCCAGGGCAAGGAAGGAUUUUUCAUGACCUCCAAGUCAAAAGCUAUAAUGGAACAAAUUGAUUUGUUUGUGUGGAAAUUAAACUUCUGUCUAACUACAAAACAUUUAUGUCAAAAUAAAAGACAAACACACACAGGAAAAUUUUUUUUGCAAUACAUAUAAAAGUUGAAAGGGGUGGGAAGGCAGGGUAGACCUGGGAGGAAUGGGAGUGGAUAUGAUCCAAAUACAUUGUAUGCUUGUCUGAAAUUCUCAAAGAAUAAAUAAAAUAGCAUAUUCUUAAAAGAAGAGCUUAAACCUUCUUAACAUAUGAAGGGUUCCUAUAAAUCAAUAAAAAGGAUAAAUGUUUUCAUAGGAAAUGGACUAAAGAUGAAAAUAUACAACUCACAAAAGAAGAAACAAAACAUGAGGGACAAUACAAGGACUGGAGUGGGAAAUGCAGAGGCGGAAAAGGUGAAAUCCAGAGGUCGGUCCAGUCAUGCACAGCAAGUGCCCGCAUCUUCCCUGGCGAGGCAAGGUUUGGCCUUAGGUAGAGGUUCAGCGAAUGCGUGUUGAAUAGGUAUGUGGAGAUAAAGAAUGCGGGCGACCUGCCAAGCUGAAGAUACAGCCAAGAUGCAGUUAGGAGAAAAGUGGGGGUAGAGAAUGGUUUUUAUGGGGAAGAGGGCACGUUAGGUGAAGUUAUGUGGUAGAGCCUAUUCUGCCAGCAGAAUUAGAAAUGAUGUCAUCGGAAGAACAUGUCUUUGUGUCGGUUACAGAGAGCCUCCACUGCAGUGCACUCAGAAGAUGCUCUCAGCCAUUGUCUUCCGGGUCCUUUGUCUGCAUCUGUGGCUGGUACCGCCACCACCCCCGCCCCCAGCAUUUUAUCCCUUCCAUUCCUCAGUGGAUGACAAUGUGCCAUCUCUCCUCCCCAGAGGGUUCACAUUUGGACUUCUGAAGUCACUCACUUGAAACCCUGGCAUUUAUGUUACCAGCUCGAAGUUCACAGAAGUGGCUGAGGUCAUUGUUUGUUCCCUUUGUAUUAAAAUAAAUCCUAGCAAAUAC